CUCGGCAACGCCAAGCUGGGCGCGGGCUCUUCCCCCGCUGGGCCGGGUCCCCGGGUUCCGGCUGCGGUUGGCCCCCGCGGCGCCCUCAGCCUGGAGGAGGUAGCGCCCCACCCUCGUCCCAGACAGCAAGAGCAGCCAGGACGCACAUUUCACCGCUUUAUUGGCAGCCCGGAGCCCGGGCUGGACUCCCGUGAGCUUACACUGUCCGAGCCAAGACUGAGGAGUCCAAAGGCCUCCCGGACAGCUCAGGGCGCGCGCGCCUCGCUCGACCCUCGACACUCGACCCUCGGGGCAGAGGAGGCGUCAGGCCCAACCCCCACCCCCGGCGUGGCCCUGCCCGCCUCAGCGAUCAGGUGGAGCCGCAGCGCCUCGUGUAGUCCUGGAUGGAGGCCUGGAAGUGCUCGGUGCUGUUGAGAUCUGGGCGGCACAGGAUCACGUAGCACUUGGGGAGGAAACACCCGCUGAAGCCGCCACUCAGGCUGCUCAGCGCCGCCAGCACGUUGACCGCGGGCAGGUACUUGGCCUGGUAGACGCUGGCCGUGGUGAAGAAGCCAAUCCAGGACACGAAGUUGAGGAGCAGACUGAAGGUGACGCAUUCGGCCUCGUUGUAGUUCUCUGGCAGGUCCUUGCCCAGGUAGCUGCAGUCCAAGGCGCUGGCGGACAGGAGGCCGUUGUAGACGAAAGCCAACAUGAAGCCCAGGGAGUUGGCCUCCGUGCAAUCAAGCACCACCUGCUGAGGGAAGCGCUGGUAUUCCCUGGUGGGCCGUGGGGUCCACACCAUGAGCCAAGUUAGACAGAUGAGCAGCUGGGCCAUUGAGCUGAUGACCACAAAUAGGCUGGGACCAUGGUUUUGGACCCAGGCAUGGUAGAAGAAUUCAGUCUGGCGGCAGGUAUUCUCCAGCCUGUACCUAACUGCAGCGAAGUGAGCAAGGCCCUGGUUCUGCACAUGUGUGGCCCAAGGGGGAUCCCCUCAUCUGCUCUGUGGACCCUAGGAGUGCCCAGUCAUUCGCCCACUCACUUGGUCACUCACCACUCUUGUUGAGGAAGGUCCCGGCCUCACAGGGCACACACUCAAAGCAACAGUGGUGGAAACCCACGAUGACUCGCUGGUGUCCUUCAAGACAGUCGCUGGAGCACACAGACUUAGGCACCUGCAAGAAGCCACAGGUGUUCUGUAACCACAUGGAGUGGCUCAAGUCGAGGGAUGCUCACAUGGAAUGGGAAACAAUCUCUGUACAUCUGCUUUCACAGCUCACUCCCAGGGCAGAGCCCCUGGUUUCAUAAACCUGCAGCAGCCGGCCAUCUGGGUGCUGCCCGGGAAGCUGGAUAGGGCCAUGUUGGCCUGGUACCUGGGAUCCCCCUCCUGCUCGUCCACAGUAACCUCAGGCAUCAGGCUAUCCAUAAGGCAGUCCCCUUGUGAGUGACCAUGUCUCUGUUACCUUGUUGUCCUUUCCGUGCCACCGGAUUUUGGUUUUAUUUAUGUCCAGCUGAACUGGAGGCCACGUGGAAGAACCGAUGACCCUAAAGUUCCACUUGGGGCCACUCCAGUCCCAAGCAAUUAUGUCAUAGCCGCUGAGGGGGUCCCCGUUGUCAUUAAAUAUCACAGUAUC